rnacentral:rRNA from 1 species
GGGGAAUAUUGCGCAAUGGGCGAAAGCCUGACGCAGCGACGCCGCGUGAGGGAUGAAGGUUUUCGGAUCGUAAACCUCUGUCAGAAGGGAAGAAACCGCACCGUGCUAAUCAGCGGUGCCUUGACGGUACCUUCAAAGGAAGCACCGGCUAACUCCGUGCCAGCAGCCGCGGUAAUACGUAGGGUGCGAGCGUUGUCCGGAAUUACUGGGCGUAAAGAGCUCGUAGGUGGUUUGUCGCGUCGUUUGUGUAAGCCCGCAGCUUAACUGCGGGACUGCAGGCGAUACGGGCAUAACUUGAGUGCUGUAGGGGAGACUGGAAUUCCUGGUGUAGCGGUGGAAUGCGCAGAUAUCAGGAGGAACACCGAUGGCGAAGGCAGGUCUCUGGGCAGUAACUGACGCUGAGGAGCGAAAGCAUGGGUAGCGAACA